GUUAUAAUAGUUUAAUAAACAUUGGUCUUGUAAACCAAAAUUAAAUAUAAUUUAUAUUUUUAUAACU
rnacentral:tRNA from 1 species